rnacentral:misc_RNA from 1 species
UUUCCGUAGGUGAACCUGCGGAAGGAUCAUUAGUGAAUCUAGGACGUCCAACUUAACUUGGAGUCCGAACUCUCACUUUCUAACCCUGUGCAUCUGUUUUAAAAUUGGCUAGUAGCUCUUCGGAGCGAACCACCAUUUUUCACUUAUACAAACACAAAGUCUAUGAAUGUAAACAAAUUUAUAACAAAACAAAACUUUCAACAACGGAUCUCUUGGCUCUC